CCUACGGGCGGCUGCAGUGGGGAAUCUUGCACAAUGGGCGAAAGCCUGAUGCAGCGACGCCGCGUGAGUGAAGAAGUAUUUCGGUAUGUAAAGCUCUAUCAGCAGGGAAGAAAAUGACGGUACCUGACUAAGAAGCCCCGGCUAACUACGUGCCAGCAGCCGCGGUAAUACGUAGGGGGCAAGCGUUAUCCGGAUUUACUGGGUGUAAAGGGAGCGUAGACGGACCGGCAAGUCUGAAGUGAAAUUCCAGGGCUCAACCCUGGGACUGCUUUGGAAACUGCAGAUCUUGAGUACCGGAGGGGUAAGCGGAAUUCCUAGUGUAGCGGUGAAAUGCGUAGAUAUUAGGAAGAACACCAGUGGCGAAGGCGGCUUACUGGACGGUAACUGACGUUGAGGCUCGAAAGCGUGGGUAGCAAACAGGAUUAGAUACCCGUGUAGUC
rnacentral:rRNA from 1 species